rnacentral:rRNA from 1 species
GACGAACGCUGGCGGCGUGCUUAACACAUGCAAGUCGAACGGAAAGGCCCUGCUUGCAGGGUGCUCGAGUGGCGAACGGGUGAGUAACACGUGGGUGAUCUGCCCCUUACUUUGGGAUAAGCCUGGGAAACUGGGUCUAAUACUGGAUAGGACCAUGCUGUAGGUGGUGUGGUGGAAAGAUUAGUUUCGGUAAGGGAUGAGCUCGCGGCCUAUCAGCUUGUUGGUGGGGUAAUGGCCUACCAAGGCGUCGACGGGUAGCCGGCCUGAGAGGGUGGACGGCCACAUUGGGACUGAGAUACGGCCCAGACUCCUACGGGAGGCAGCAGUGGGGAAUAUUGCACAAUGGGCGCAAGCCUGAUGCAGCGACGCCGCAUGGGGGAUGACGGCCUUCGGGUUGUAAACUCCUUUCAGCCAUGACGAAGCCCUUGUGGUGACGGUAGUGGUAGAAGAAGCACCGGCUAACUACGUGCCAGCAGCCGCGGUAAUACGUAGGGUGCGAGCGUUGUCCGGAAUUACUGGGCGUAAAGAGCUCGUAGGUGGUCUGUCGCGUCAUUUGUGAAAGCCCGGGGCUUAACUCCGGGUUGGCAGGUGAUACGGGCAUGACUGGAGUACUGUAGGGGAGACUGGAAUUCCUGGUGUAGCGGUGAAAUGCGCAGAUAUCAGGAGGAACACCGGUGGCGAAGGCGGGUCUCUGGGCAGUAACUGACGCUGAGGAGCGAAAGCAUGGGUAGCGAACAGG